AUACUUACCUGGACGGGGUCUAUGGUUGAUCAUGAAGGAUCAUGGCCUAGGUUAGUGACUUCCAUUGCACUUUGGAAGGGCGCUCGCCUAAGAUCUCCCCACCGAGGGAGAGUCUACGUCAUAAUUUGUUACUAAGGGGGUGUGCGUCCGCGCUGCCCCUGC